rnacentral:rRNA from 1 species
UACAGAGGUCCCGAGCGUUGUUCGGAAUCACUGGGCGUAAAGCGCACGUAGGCGGAUGUGCCAGUCAGGGGUGAAAUCCCGGAGCUCAACUCCGGAACUGCCUCUGAUACAGCACGUCUUGAGUUCGAGAGAGGUGGGUGGAAUUCCUAGUGUAGAGGUGAAAUUCGUAGAUAUUAGGAAGAACACCGGUGGCGAAGGCGGCCCACUGGCUCGAUACUGACGCUGAGGUGCAAAAGCGUGGGGAGCAAACAGG